GAUGAACGCUGGCGGCGUGCCUAAUACAUGCAAGUCGAGCGAACAGACGAUGAGCUUGCUCCUCUGACGUUAGCGGCGGACGGGUGAGUAACACGUGGAUAACCUACCUAUAAGACUGGGAUAACUUCGGGAAACCGGAGCUAAUACCGGAUAAUAUAUUGAACCGCAUGGUUCAAUAGUGAAAGACGGUUUUGCUGUCACUUAUAGAUGGAUCCGCGCCGCAUUAGCUAGUUGGUAAGGUAACGGCUUACCAAGGCAACGAUGCGUAGCCGACCUGAGAGGGUGAUCGGCCACACUGGAACUGAGACACGGUCCAGACUCCUGAGGGAGGCAGCAGUAGGGAAUCUUCCGCAAUGGGCGAAAGCUUGGCGGAGCAACGCCGCGUGAGUGAUGAAGGUCUUCGGAUCGUAAAACUCUGUUAUGAGGGAAGAACAAAUGUGUAAGUAACUAUGCACGUCUUGACGGUACCUAAUAAGAAAGCCACGGCUAACUACGUG
rnacentral:rRNA from 1 species